UAGAAAGUUUGUCUAUCCAAGACA
rnacentral:tRNA from 1 species